rnacentral:rRNA from 1 species
CCUACGGGAGGCAGCAGUGAGGAAUAUUGGUCAAUGGCCGCAGGGCUGAACCAGCCAAGUCGCGUGAGGGAUGACGGUCCUAUGGAUUGUAAACCUCUUCUGCCAGGGAGCAAAUGGCGCCACGUGUGGCGCUUUGCGAGUACCUGUAGAUAAAGCAUCGGCUAACUCUGUGCAAGCAGCCGCGGUAAUACGGAGGAUGCGAGCGUUAUCCGGAUUUAUUGGGGUUAAAGGGUGCGUGGGCGGAAUAUCAAGUCAGCGGUAAAAAUUCGGGGCUAAACCCCGUCGUGCCGUUGAAACUGAUGUUCUUGAGUGGACGAGAAGUGUGCGGAAUGCGUGGUGUAGCGGUGAAAUGCAUAGAUAUCACGAAGAACUCCGGUUGCGAAGGCGGCAUACCGGCGCCCAACUGACGCUGAAGCACGAAAGCGUGGGUAUCGAACAGGAUUAGAUACCCCUGUAGUC